CCCCGGGAAACCGCCGGUGCCUCAGCCGCCGAAAAUAGUUAACGAAAAUGUCCGUAAUGUUCGCUGACGUGUCUGUUGUUCUUCCGUCAGCUGCCGGCGGUUUGAAACUCUCCAAUGCAUUUUCCGACUCCAAAUUCCUUCUCUCUCCUUCUUUCUCCAAAAGCUCUCCAUCUUCUUCUGUUCCGAGGCUAGGACUUGGACUAGGAAAGGCCCAAACUAGAAGCUGGAAAAUAAGAGCAACAGCAUCAGGAAGUUCAGGAGGUGAUUUGGUCCCAGUUGCUCCUGUUCAGUUGGAGUCAGCUGUUGGUCAAUUUUUAGCCCAGAUGUUGCAAACCCAUCCCCAUCUGCUCCCUGCAGCUAUUGAACAGCAGCUGGAUAACCUUCAGAAUGAAAGGGAUGCCCAAUUAAAGGAAAACCAGUCUUCUACCAAAGAUGUCCUCCAAAAGAGAAUAGCUGAAGUCAAAGAGAAAGAAAGGCGGAAAAUAUUAGAGGAGAUUCUGUACUGCUUAAUUGUACAUAAAUUUGUAGAGAAUGACAUUUCAAUGAUCCCAAAAAUAUCUGAAACAUCAGAUCCUACUGGAAAUGUGGGUUAUUGGCCAAAUCAAGAGCAGAAGCUAGAGUCCGUACACUCCCCUGAUGCAUUUGAAAUGAUCAUCAGUCACAUAACCAUAGUUCUUGGUGAGCGUGCUGUGGGGCCUCUUGAUAGCAUUGUUCAAAUGAGCAAAAUCAAACUUGGCAAGCUCUAUGCUGCUUCUAUUAUGUAUGGAUAUUUCCUCAAAAGGGUUGACGAACGUUAUCAACUUGAAAGAUCUGUGAGUAAGCCUCCUGAGAGCUUCCAGAUCUCAACGAAUCCUGACGAGCCAGCAGCACCGAGACAACUAUGGGAUCCAGAUUCAUUGAUAGAAAUUUACCCUGAAGAUGGUGACAGAGAAGGUUUUGCAGUUUCUGAUAUUGAGGGUAAACCAGAGAGGCUGAGAUCCUAUGUGAUGUAUUUGGAUGCGGACACAUUACAGAGAUAUGCAACCUUAAGAUCAAAAGAGGCAGUUACUGUGAUUGAAAAGCAGACACAAGCAUUGUUUGGAAGGCCCGAUAUUAAAGUUACUGGUGAUGGUACCCUAGAUGUAUCUAAUGAUGAAGUUCUGUCUGUUACAUACUCUGGUUUGACAAUGCUGGUGCUGGAGGCAGUUUCUUUUGGAUCAUUUUUAUGGGAGACAGAAGGCUAUGUGGAGUCGAAAUACCAUAUUAUCAAUAGCUAGAGAUACUCUUUUGUACUUGAACAAGAAAUAUUUUUUCAUCUUCUAGUUCUGUAUAUUGUUUACUCGUUCGAACCCACUUAGCAUGAAUUUUGUAUCUGCUAAUCAUCAGACUCAUAUAGCAUGUUUUACACG
rnacentral:misc_RNA from 1 species